GUAGGUGGCAAGCGUUGUCCGGAAUUAUUGGGCGUAAAGCGCGCGCAGGCGGUUCUUUAAGUCUGAUGUGAAAGCCCACGGCUCAACCGUGGAGGGUCAUUGGAAACUGGAGAACUUGAGUACAGAAGAGGAAAGCGGAAUUCCACGUGUAGCGGUGAAAUGCGUAGAGAUGUGGAGGAACACCAGUGGCGAAGGCGGCUUUCUGGUCUGUAACUGACGCUGAGGCGCGAAAGCGUGGGGGAGCAAACAGGAUUAGAUACCCUGGUAGUCCACGCCGUAAACGAUGAGUGCUAAGUGUUAGGGGGUUUCCGCCCCCUUAGUGCUGCAGCUAACGCAUUAAGCACUCCGCCUGGGAGUACGGCCGCAGGCUG
rnacentral:rRNA from 1 species